rnacentral:rRNA from 1 species
UACGAAGGGGGCUAGCGUUGUUCGGAAUCACUGGGCGUAAAGGGCGCGUAGGCGGCCGAUCAAGUCGGGGGUGAAAGCCUGUGGCUCAACCACAGAAUUGCCUUCGAUACUGUUUGGCUUGAGACCGGAAGAGGUUAGUGGAACUGCGAGUGUAGAGGUGAAAUUCGUAGAUAUUCGGAAGAACACCAGUGGCGAAGGCGACUCACUGGCCCGAUACUGACGCUGAGGCGCGAAAGCGUGGGGAGCAAACAGG